rnacentral:rRNA from 1 species
UACGAAGGGGCUAGCGUUGCUCGGAAUCACUGGGCGUAAAGCGCACGUAGGCGGAUUGUUAAGUCAGGGGUGAAAUCCUGGAGCUCAACUCCAGAACUGCCUUUGAUACUGGCGAUCUUGAGUCCGGGAGAGGUGAGUGGAACUGCGAGUGUAGAGGUGAAAUUCGUAGAUAUUCGCAAGAACACCAGUGGCGAAGGCGGCUCACUGGCCCGGUACUGACGCUGAGGCGCGAAAGCUAGGGGAGCAAACGGG